AACCCUUGUCCAUAGUUACCAGCACGUUAUGGUGGGCACUCUAAGGAGACUGCCGGUGACAAACCGGAGGAAAGGUGGGGAUGACGUCAAGUCAUCAUGGCCCUUACGGCCUGGGCUACACACGUGCUACAAUGGUCGGUACAAAGGGUUGCCAAGCCGCGAGGUGGAGCUAAUACCCAUAAAACCGAUCGUAGUCCGGAUCGCAGUCUGCAACUCGACUGCGUGAAGUCGGAAUCGCUAGUAAUCGUGAAUCAGAAUGUCACGGUGAAUACGUUCCCGGGCCUU
rnacentral:rRNA from 1 species